AGAGACUUAGGCUAAUAUAAAACCAAGAGCCUUCAAAGCCCUAAAUGAAAGUGAAAAUCCCUCAGUCCCUG